UACGUAGGGGGCAAGCGUUGUCCGGAAUCAUUGGGCGUAAAGCGCGUGUAGGCGGCCCGGUAAGUCCGCUGUAAAAGUCCAGGGCUCAACCCUGGAAAGCCGGUGGAUACUGUCGGGCUCGAGUCCGGAAGAGGCGAGUGGAAUUCCUGGUGUAGCGGUGAAAUGCGCAGAUAUCAGGAGGAACACCAAUGGCGAAGGCAGCACUCUGGGACGUGACUGACGCUGAGACGCGAAAGCGUGGGGAGCAAACAGG
rnacentral:rRNA from 1 species